rnacentral:rRNA from 1 species
UACGUAGGUGGCGAGCGUUAUCCGGAAUUAUUGGGCGUAAAGAGCGCGCAGGUGGUUGAUUAAGUCUGAUGUGAAAGCCCACGGCUUAACCGUGGAGGGUCAUUGGAAACUGGUCGACUUGAGUGCAGAAGAGGGAAGUGGAAUUCCAUGUGUAGCGGUGAAAUGCGUAGAGAUAUGGAGGAACACCAGUGGCGAAGGCGGCUUCCUGGUCUGUACUGACACUGAGGCGCGAAAGCGUGGGGAGCAAACAGGAUUAGAUACCCGU